ensembl:snRNA U6 U6 spliceosomal RNA
GUGCUCGCUUCAGCAGCACAUAUACUAAAAUUGGAAUGAUACAGAGGUUAUUAGCAUGCCCCUGUACAAGGAUGAGAAACCAUCACCACAAUCAAGAUAAUCAA